GGGGGCUGAAAUGAACUCUGUGAGGAUUCUUAGCUUUGGUGGUUUAAUGCUCUAUUUUUGUGCUUGUUGGCCUCCUGCCAGGUGGCGGCGCUUUCCGGAGAGCAUCAGCUGUGGUAACAUGGAGAGAAACCAGAGAGUGGGUGGGGCUUUAGAACUUCCAAGACAGAGGCUCUGGAAGCCUCUGUCUUCAGCUACCAGAGUGGGUAGGGAAGGACCAUCAAGUGGGGGCAGGGCUAGGUGUGUCUGAGCUCAGACUCUCCUUGGGUGAGUCUUGCUGUGGCUGCUGUGGGGGAGGGGGGGGUGAGGUUCCCAGGUGAAUAGAGUUGUGUACCUAGGAGGAUAAUGGCUGCCUCUGCUGAGUCAUGCAGGUUGUUAGGGAAGUGAGGGAAAGCUGGCAGUCACAGGCCUCACCCAGCUCCCAUGCAAUCCAAAUGGCCAGUCUCACUCUCACCAUGCCCCCUCUAAAGCAUUGAGUCUGUUUCCAAGCAGUGGGUAAGCAGGGGUGAGAACUUGCCGCAGGCUACCCACCUCCCAGCUGUGAAAGAAAAGGGCUUUCGUUCUUCCCCCACCUGUGGAGUCUACACGCUGGAUUUGUGCCCUCCCUUGAGUUCUGGCCAGGAGGCUUCUCCACCUGUUCAAAUUGUUAUAAAGUUCAGCUGGAGACUUCCUUCUCUCCGUGGCAUUUUCCUCAUGCCUCUGGCCACCCUCCCAAAGGAUCCCUGUGAGGCCAGGCAGGAAUGGCCUGCUUGGGGACCCAGCAAGCUUCUAGGGCCUUUGCUGCUGCUUCCUCUACCCCUGUAUUUCGCUCGGCUCUCUAAAUGGACUCAGCUCCAGAUGAGGAAACGGAGAUUCACAAAAAUCAGGUCAUUUGUCUGAGGUCCGAGUACUGUGUGAUAGAGCAAAGAUUUGAACCCAGCUGGAAAAAUCUGAAAUCCUCUGUUAGUAAGGUUAGAAUGAGCGGACACCCUGAACUGUGAAGAGCAUAUUGGACUGGAUGUCCAGGGACCUGGGCUCUAUUUCUCACGCUGACAUGUGAUCCUAGACCCAUCACUUUCAUCUUCUAAACAGGCUGCAUGGAGAUUGUAGCAUGAAUGCAGAUAUUGGAAAUUUACUGGAUGUAUGAUCAGACAAACCAAUUGAAGUGGAGAAGAGAACCAAUCAGCCAAAUCAUUACAGAAGUUGCACCACUGCCUGAAAUAUCUUGACUGAUUCUAUAUAAGUUGAAUUUUUGCCGAAUAAAUUCUGAAAAUAAUUACAAGCUUCCUUUUGAUUUGAAUGUUACACAUCAAGUUCUAGUAAGAGCUAAUUUUACAUCAUUGACAGAUAACAAAAUAGAAGGAACAAAGUGCCCUUUGAGUUAAGGGCACUCCAAUGUCCCGGAAUUUAACCUUUUUGUCAGAUCAAUAAGGUUUAGUGCAACUAGCCAGACACCUGUCC
rnacentral:lncRNA from 1 species